rnacentral:rRNA from 1 species
UGGGGAAUAUUGCACAAUGGGCGCAAGCCUGAUGCAGCCAUGCCGCGUGUAUGAAGAAGGCCUUCGGGUUGUAAAGUACUUUCAGCGGGGAGGAAGGCGGUGCGGUUAAUAACCGUGCCGAUUGACGUUACCCGCAGA